GGCUUCGUGGCCCAAUGGCAAGGCGUCUGACUACGAUUUCACACAGAAAGAGAUAAUCAGGAGAUUCUGGGUUCGACCCCCAGCGAGGUCA